rnacentral:rRNA from 1 species
UGCGUCGAACGGGACUACCUGAGAUUACAUCAACUGGUAGUUUAGUGGCAAACGGGUGAAUAACACAUGGGUGAUCUACCUUCGAGUGGAGAAUAACCCCGAGAAAUCGGGGCUAAUGCUCCAUAAGAUCACGAUUCUUCCUAAAAAGAAUUGGGAUCAAAGUUCCGCAAGGGACGCUUGAAGAUGAGCCCGUGGCCUAUCAGCUAGUUGGUGAGGUAAUGGCUCACCAAGGCUAAGACGGGUAGCCGGCCUGAAAGGGCGAUCGGCCACACUGGAACUGAGACACGGUCCAGACUCCUACGGGAGGCAGCAGUGGGGAAUUUUGGACAAUGGGGGCAACCCUGAUCCAGCAACGCCGCGUGAGGGAUGAAGGUCUUCGGAUUGUAAACCUCUUUUACAGGGGACGAAAGGUUGCGUGAAUAACGCAAAGUGACGGUACUCUGUGAAUAAGCCACGGCUAACUUCGUGCCAGCAGCCGCGGUAAUACGAAGGUGGCAAGCGUUAUUCGGAAUUACUAGGCGUAAAGCGCAGGUAGGUGGUUGGAUAAGUCUGUAAUGAAAUCUCCCGGCUUAACUGGGAGGGGUUUAUGGAAACUGUCCGACUCGAGUGUGGGAGAGGUAACUGGAAUUCCCGGUGUAGCGGUGAAAUGCGUAGAUAUCGGGAGGAACACCCAUGGCGAAAGCAGGUUACUGGCCCAAUACUGACACUGAGCUGCGAAAGCUAGGGGAGCAAACAGGAUUAGAUACCCUGGUAGUCCUAGCCAUAAACGAUGUAGACCAGAUGUGGGGGGUAUCGACCCCCUCCGCGUCGACGCUAACGCAUUAGUCUACCGCCUGGGGAGUACGGCCGCAGGUUGAACUCAAAGGAAUUGACGGGGA